UACGGAGGGGGCUAGCGUUGUUCGGAUUUAUUGGGCGUAAAGAGCGUGUAGGCGGUUAGGGAGGUCCGAUGUGAAAACUCGAGGCUCAACCUCGAGACGCCGAUGGAAACCAUCUAACUAGAGUCCGGAAGAGGAGAGUGGAAUUCCUGGUGUAGCGGUGAAAUGCGCAGAUAUCAGGAAGAACACCCGUGGCUAAGGCGGCUCUCUAGUACGGUACUGACGCUGAGACGCGAAAGCGUGGGGAGCGAACAGG
rnacentral:rRNA from 1 species